AGAGUUGAUCAUGGCUCAGGAUGAACGCUAGCUACAGGCUUAACACAUGCAAGUCGAGGGGUAGCAGGGUAGCAAUACCGCUGACGACCGGCGCACGGGUGAGUAACACGUAUCCAACCUUCCCAUAACUCAGGGAUAGCCUUUCGAAAGAAAGAUUAAUACCUGAUAGUACUUUUUCAAGGCAUCUUGAGAAAGUUAAAGAUUUAUUGGUUAUGGAUGGGGAUGCGUUCCAUUAGAUAGUUGGUGAGGUAACGGCUCACCAAGUCUUCGAUGGAUAGGGGUUCUGAGAGGAAGGUCCCCCACAUUGGUACUGAGACACGGACCAAACUCCUACGGGAGGCAGCAGUGAGGAAUAUUGGUCAAUGGGCGAGAGCCUGAACCAGCCAAGUAGCGUGAAGGAUGAAAGGUCCUAUGGAUUGUAAACUUCUUUUAUAGUAGAAUAAAGUGAUCCACGUGUGGAUUUUUGUAUGUAUACUAUGAAUAAGGAUCGGCUAACUCCGUGCCAGCAGCUGC
rnacentral:rRNA from 1 species